AUGGCAGAGGCCUGCAGCUCAUGCAGGAGGCCUGUGAUUGAACAAUCCCCAGCUCCCCAGAAGACACCAGUACAAACAGGCGAGUGCAAGUCUACCAUGACCGCCAGGGCCAGGGCACACUCGAGACCCAGCUGCACGGUGGAGCCGUGCCCAGUCGUGGAAAGGCUCCCUGCGUGUGCCACAGGAGCCCCGAGCCAGGUGGAGCCUCGGACGCUGGAAAUGUGGUGUGACUGAGAAAGUGAACUUUAAACUUUAGAUGAAUCACAACCGAAGUGUAAAAAUGUAAAUACACAGAGCACACGUGGCAAGCGACUACUGUAAGGGAGCGACACUGGUCUGGAGUUUUUGGCCAUUUAGGUGAUGUGUCUAUUGGUAAGCAAGUGUGGAGCGGCUCUUUUUGGCACCAGCCCGCCACCCCACACGUCCCACUCAGGCCCCUGGAGCUCUCCAAACCAGCACGGUGAGAACUCCGAGGCCUGGGAGCACAGCUGGGAGACCAAGACUUUGCAUGGACUGCCUGGGGCUCCCCAGCCCCACCACCGGACAGUUCAUUCAGAACUACACAUUUCUUAAGUCUCGAAGCUUAAUGACGGAGCAGCUCAGGCUCUUGGAAAGGGCGACUCCCUGGCGUGUUCUGGGGUUUUCCAGCCCGAGGCUGUGACAGCCCGCAGGACGCAGGGUCCAGUGGACCGCGCUGGGGCCCGAGGGUCCGAGCUAAGGACAGGGCCCUGCAGGACCCCCGCCUCCCGUCUGCCCGGGCUGUUUCUGAGCGUGCGGACACCGAUACAGAAGUCCUCUCUGGAUGGGACUCGCUGCUGAACCCAACGAAAUCGUAUACUUACCUGAUUUUGAAAAUAACCAGUAAUCCAGAUGGCUAAUUUGUUUUAAUCAAAUUUACUAGAGCAAGAAAGGUUCUAGACCCAAGCAGCAUUCCAGACCAAGGGUGGUCCAGGGCUGCCCUCUGUCGCUAUUGUUUUUCCGUUGAAAACGGGAACAUAUUAGAAGUGCUGGCAAACACACCUCGAAUGUGACCUGCAUGCGGACACGCAAGAGUCCUCCCUCCAAACACCUCUGCGCCGCCCUCACCCUGCGAUGGCGCGACUCCGGGCGCCCCAGGCCACGCAGCAGUCUUCGUACUCACUGGCUUCGCCAGUUUUAGACGAUAACCUUUCUAGCUGGCCGCCCUUACCUCGCAGCCCAAACUCCUACCGCCCAGCGGCCGCUCCUCCAUCCCUGCGCUCUCAGACGUGGGCUCCGGGCACGUAACUUCUCAGAAGCAGCCAGACCUUUCAGCCAAAAACUCUUGGGGUCCCCCAGCUGGGUUUUAAUCCACCCUCCGGGUGAUUUGGGGGCGCACCAAUGUUCGAGACCCACUCAUCGAGAGUGCAGUAAACCCCCUAAAAAUAUCUCCGGACUCUGAUCGAUGCUGAACCUUACUGGAACGAAACACUCCCUGGCCCUGCACACUCUAUUUCGAUCUCCUGUUGGAAAUCACGAGUUCGCUUAUGCCGCUAGACUUCGGGCGAUUUUAAAUCUAAUUUCAGAUCUUUAUAAGUUGACAGCAUUCGACUUCUGACAGAGCUGUAUGAGAUGUCCCUGGAGAGAAGAGGUACACAGAGGUACCGGGAGGCAAACUCAACAUGUAAAAAUCUCAAGUCUGUUCGCGUGGUAAGUCAGCAGGACCCUUCCUCAGUGUGUGAGAUUAGCAGAUGUAUGAAAUCAUAAGGAAAUGCACUGGAGGACGCAACACGAAUGCCACACGGUGCAUCUAAAAUACGUCGAUUUAAAGAAUUGCCAAACACCUCGUGUGACAGGAGAGAGGAGGAGGACGUGAUAUCCAAGCCCUGAUUUCCCACUUCCCAUAUUCAAACCGCAGCUUUUUCACUUACUGUGGAACCCUGGCCAAUUCUCAGGUGUGUCAACUUCUCUAUCCCUGUUUAAACAUCUGGAAAAUGGAUCCAAUAAUUUUCUAUGCCCUCAAUUUGUGCGAGGGUUUCAGAAGGCUUAAGGAGUGGGCUUCAGGCUGGAGACUGGAACAUAGAAAGCGUUCCUUAAAUGCUGGUGCGUCUUAAAUUAGCUCACCUGUGACUGGUCACUACGAAAAUAGGAACGUUUUUAUCACUCAAGAAUGUUUACCGAAAGCCGUUAGAAUUUGUACAGAGCAAAUAAGAGCCAACCGGAUUGAACAGGAGACACCAGCAGAUGUUUACCCUUCUAAGCACUCUGCUCUAGCCAAACUCAUCAAGGUAAUUUCAGUCUCCCUGUCAGAGACUGAUUCAGGUGUGAGCCUGCCUUAGGAACC
rnacentral:lncRNA from 1 species